GGAUUAAGCGCUUUAGCAGGACGUUUGAUAGAGCCGCUGGCUUGUAAAGUGGAGCGAGUGUAAGAGGGUCUGCGCUGGAGUACAGCUGCCUGCUCUCUGAUAAAGGCUGCUUGUUUCACACACUGACGUUGAUUUGUUGGGUAUCGUGUUAAAGGAUGUUAAUAGUCUACUACGGGCACUUGUGUUUUUAACGCUCGCCAAAAGACUGGAGUCUCUUAAAUGAAACUGGUCUCCUGAGGUUCGGCCGUAUUUCUGCUGGGGGUCUUUAUUAGAGCCCAGACGCAGUUCUGUGGCCGGACGUCUGUUUCUGUCAAUCCACCAGAGAAGUGUGACGUCACCACGACAGAGGAUCUCGGAACAGAAAUUUUAACGCGGUCCGAACUGGAUGGAGCGUCCAACAAAAGUGCAGCAGUAUAGCGGGGUUCUGCCGCGGUUGAUAAAGCGCAGGCCUCUGGGUUGCAUAAGAGGAUUGUUCGUGAGCGAUCCAGGGGCCUUCACCGCUCAAGCCUGCCAGCUGGGCCCCGUCUGCGGCUCUCAUCUGUGCGGCUGGCAGCCGUCCGGCUCUGAAGCUCGCAGACCUGCUUUCAGAGCGAGCCAAUGUCACAUUACUGCGCUGUCCAACCGCACUCAUCGAGAUGCCUGCAUCACCGCAUCCCCACACAGCGGAUCCUUGUUUCAUCUGUGAAAAUCAAAGAUGUGCCGUUUGUGAAGCUCGGACUAUAACAUGAGAUAUACUGAAAUAUAUUCUGCAUCUACUGUGUUUUCAGCUGUGUUUGCUUCAGUCUCCCAGAAUCAGUGCUUGUCAGUUAUUCAGUAUUGGUCAAUACAAUGAUGCAUAUCAACAAAUCUAUCAUUCGGUCAUCAUAUAGCUUAACUUUACUGAAUUAUUGUCACAGCCAGACUAUUGUCUGCUCCUGGUUUUAUCAAAUUAACAAUUUUUCAUCACACAUGUAUUAAAUGCAGAAGCCAAUUUUAUGUUGCUGCUACUAAUGAGACUUAGUUUGAAACUGAAAUUAUCUAAAAAUCUCAACAUUGUAUAAUUUGUGUGACAGAUUUCAUCACUAGAGAGUUCAAAAUAUGAUCAGUAUUACAUAACUUAAUGAGUAAAUUAAUU
ensembl:lncRNA